rnacentral:misc_RNA from 1 species
AAAAAAUUAUGAGAAUUAAAAUUAAAGGUAAUGUCCACCGUUUAGUGUGUGGAUGAGGCAUGGCGUUGAUGGGAGAGAAAUUUCGAGUGUGUGUAACUGGAGCAGGUGGAUACGUGGCUUCAUCGCUAGUGAAGCUUCUCCUUUCUAAAGACUACAUAGUUCAUGGCACCGUCAGAGAUCCUUCUGAUGACAAGUAUGCUCAUUUGAAUAACCUUGAUAAAGCUGCUGACAACCUUAAGCUAUUCAAGGCAGACUUGCUAGAUCCCAACUCACUUGCUGGAGCCAUCAAAGGAUGCGAUGGGGUAUUUCAUGUUGCUAGUCCUGUUCCUUCCGGCUCUGUACCAAAUCCCGAGGUAGAACUUGUUGAGCCUGCUGUGAACGGCACACUUAAUGUUCUCAAGGCAUGCUAUGAAGAAAACAUCAAGAGAGUUGUGUUUGUGUCUUCUGUUGCUGCUUCUGCCUUGGACCCCAACUGGCCAAAAGGCCAAGUGAAGGACGAGACUUGUUGGUCGGAUGGUGAAUUCUGCAAAGCAACUGAUAACUGGUACUGUUUUUCUAAAACGGUGGCUGAGAAAGAAGCUUGGUCAUAUGCAAAGCAAAGUGGACUUGAUUUGGUAACUGUGCUCCCAACACUUGUUAUAGGGCCAAUGUUGCAGAAGACAAAAAACUCAAGUAGUUUGGUACUCAUUAAGCUGCUGAAAGAAGGAUACGAAGAGCUGGAAAACAAGAAACGGUUUUUGGUAGACGUACGUGAUUUAGCUGAUGCUUUACUGCUAGUCUAUGAGAGACCUGAAGCUGAAGGUAGAUACUUGUGCAUGGCUCAUGCAGUGAAAUCAGAAGAUUUAGUUGCCAUGCUAAAGAAACAAUAUCCCAACUACAACUAUCCUAAACGUUUUACUGAUGUGACGGAGGAUGGUGGUUUUAGUUCAGAGAAGCUGCAGAAGUUGGGUUGGCAAUAUAGGGCACUGGAGGAAACUCUAGUUGAUGCAGUUGAAAGUUACAAACAAAAGGGCUUUCUUGAUUGAAGAAAAGACCCUUUUUUUUCUUGUUGUCGUACUAAAUAAUUGCUCUGUAUGUUUUUCAAGUUUUCACACUUGCAAACUAGUCUGGAAUAAGGAGGUUACACUAUGGUACCUUUUGAGUUCUAUUUAGUUGUUUUGUUUUGCUCUCAGUUGAGGUACAGAUUAACUCAACUUAUU